UACGUAGGGUGCAGGCGUUAAUCGGAAUUACUGGGCGUAAAGCGUGCGCAGGCGGUUUUCCAAGACAGAUGUGAAAUCCCCGGGCUCAACCUGGGAAUGGCAUUUGUGACUGGAAGGCUAGAGUGUGUCAGAGGGGGGGUAGAAUUCCACGUGUAGCAGUGAAAUGCGUAGAGAUGUGGAGGAAUACCGAUGGCGAAGGCAGCCCCCUGGGAUAACACUGACGCUCAUGCACGAAAGCGUGGGGAGCAAACAGG
rnacentral:rRNA from 1 species